rnacentral:rRNA from 1 species
ACUCAAAUGAAUUGACGGGGGCCCGCACAAGCGGUGGAGCAUGUGGUUUAAUUCGAUGAUACGCGAGGAACCUUACCAGGGCUUAAAUGGGGAUUGACAACUAUAGAAAUAUAGCUUUCUUCGGACAAUUUUCAAGGUGCUGCAUGGUUGUCGUCAGCUCGUGCCGUGAGGUGUUAGGUUAAGUCCUGCAACGAGCGCAACCCCUAUCAUUAGUUGCCAUCGAGUAGUGUCGGGCACUCUAGUGAGACUGCCGGUGCAAACCGUGAGGAAGGUAGGGAUGACGUCAAAUCAUCACGGCCCUUACGCCCUGGGCUACACACGUGCUACAAUGGUCGGUACAGAGGGCAGCUACACUGUGAAGUGAUGCGAAUCUCGAAAGCCGAUCACAGUUCGGAUUGGAGUCUGCAACUCGACUCUAUGAAGCUGGAAUCGCUAGUAAUCGCAUAUCAGCCAUGAUGCGGUGAAUACGUUCCCGGGCCUUGCACACACCGCCCGU